UUAUGAGCUUUCACUCACUUUACUUUAAGGCUUUUAUUUUUUCAUAUCUAAUCAUUAUUGUCCAAUCUAAUGAAAAGAGAGUAUCUUUUAAAGUGAUGCUUUGAAUCUAACCUUAUUUUAUGAAUCAAGUUCAUUUUCUGUCCUGCUUAAUGUUUUUAUUCACAUUUACACAAGAUACUUAACAUCUAGAUGGAAAACACUGACAUCCAUAAACACAUCUUCUCAUGGAAUGGGAAAUGAUGGGGACUGAUAUAAGUAGAUAAAGGGGACAGACGAUGGAAUGGCUCUUCUAUACCUCAUUUACCAGCAAACCGCUUAGCAAAGCCAUUGGCAUUUCCGGGGUCAAGGGAGCUAAAUGAAUGUUCUUCAUAUCCUAUGGUGGCUCGUAAAAAGGCAAAAGUGACACACACAUACACACCCCCAAAAACGUUGUUACUCAGUCAGUGUGAUUUACGCGAGGACCUCGGGUGACAGUCAUGGGCCGUUGACUCUGUCACAGCAGAACAAGAGAGAAAUAACUUAAUGGAUGUGGAUAUUGAGUAACAGACAUUAAUGCAGAAGGCCAGAAUAACAGGAAGUGAGCCUUGACCUCUGUGGCAAGAGCGGAGAAGACAGAAGGCAAAUGGGCACAGAUGAUCCUCAGUCUUGAUUUACAGCAAGAGCUCCUGUUCACAGUACCAAACCAUAAUCCAACAACUGACGCAACCUUUCCCAACCCUAACCUUCUAAGUGGUUGAAAAUAGGUGUUUAAAUUAGAUGAUAUAUAAACUCUGUGUAAAGGAGGGAAUUAUUUAAAAUCCCAUCCAUGAUGUGAAAUAUGCCAUUUAAAGCGCUUCUUUAUUAAUAGUAAUGUUAGUUAAAUGAUCAGGGUUUGUGUCUAAUUAAGGUCCCCAGACAAUUUUUACAGUGCAUUUCUAGUUGCUAUAUAUCAACAACUUGUAGUUAUGUUAAAAUUGGUUUUAUUUAGGACAACAAUUUUAGACAACUGAUUGUUUUGUUGAGUGUGAAGCACCAGGACUAUGCUUUGGUAGACUCCUAAGAAAAGGGAGUUGACUGUUGCAUCCCUUGUUUUAUUUGUUGAUGACAGCUAGUUUUUCUGAAAAUACUGCCCUCAUGCAUAAUUUUUAGACCAUUCAACAAAGCAAAAAUAUCUGCACUAUAAUACCUAGUACCAUAAAGAAAGGAUGAUUGACUAAUAACGGUUUAAAGGAGGGCAGAAAAUGCAGAACUGAAAGUAAAUAUUAUAAUAUUUUAGAAGAAGGAUUUGGAAAUGUAUAGAAACCUGGAAUCUUUUAUUGUUCUAACUCUGAAACAUUGUAGUAUUUAAAUUGAGCUCUGACCUCAAUUUAAAUAGUGAGUCCAUGUGGCUUAGAAAGAACAUUGUAUUUUUUGACAAGGAGAGAUGUUUGUCAAAUAAUAAUUAAAGCAUGCCAUUUUAAAAAGUCAAAUGAUUAAGCAAUUAACCUGUUUGAGUUACUAUGGGAAACAUUUUCUUAUGAGACUCAUUUUCUUGUUUAUUGCUUUCUGUCUCAAUUUGUCUUAAUCUACCUCCUGUUGAUAGUGAGGCUAUUGCCUCAGCCAAGUCUUCUCAUUAGUGUUUUCUAAAUAAGGGGCAUCCAGUUUAAGUUCCAAUCUUUACAAGUUGCUGUUAACAGAGCUUUUCUACACGUCCCCUGUUAGGAUGGCCCUUAGCGGCUGGUUUACAGAGGAGUCUUGAGGCAGAGAAAUAGUGCAGACCAACCAGGUGUUUAUUUUCCAACAUUUAACAUGGAGACAAUCCUGCUUACAAUGGCCAUGGGUCUUAGCAGCAGCCACACCAACUAACCUGCAAUGUGGCCAACAUACAGGUUUUUAUAGUCCCUGGCUGCUCCCAUUAACAACCCCACCAAGAAACAGGGUAGGACAAAAUACCUAUAUACAGACAAUCUUAACAAAACAACUAAAUCUUCAACAUAAUCAUAACAACACUCUUCAUUUUUAAGCUGCCAUUUCAUUUCUAAAAUACCUUUCUAUAAAUAUAAAUCCAAUCAUUACACUUCUAAAAUACAUAGUUUCAUCGCUCCCCCUCUUCCAUCUGCAUUUGGUCUCUUCCGGAACCUUUAUAAGGUGUUCAGGCCCCCGGGGAAUCUUUUAGCCUGAACACCCUGCAGAGGAAGAGACAGAGGACACCAUCAGUUCCAGCUGAGGUGCCACUGGACAAAACACAAACAAUAAAAUACUUCAAUUUGUAUUUGUCUCAUCAUUCAACCCCUUUUAAGUGUUUUUAUACAAGUAAUGAAAACCUUCAUUACAUCCCCUCUCCCUGAUGGAUGGUGUCACUCUGCGUUAACAGUCCAAAUAUAUCAUAGAAGUCAGUGAUGCGGUCUGUCAUGCAGGAUUUCCUACUAAACUAGCUGUUGUGGUGAAGAAUUUCAACAACAGAGUCACUGGGGCCUGCUACAGUCGGAUUUAUCUGACGUUCAAUUAAUUUUGAAAUGCUGUGCCUUGCAAAAUUAGCAAUACCCCUUGUAAUUUUCCCAGACGUUUUCAGGAUAUAAUUACUAACACCAAUGUAUUUUAUUUCUAUUUUGUGUUACGGCCCAACACAGAAACGUUCUAACUUUUUUUAGUAAGUGGAAGACAUAAAAAAGAAAAUGGCAUACAUCAAUGUCAAAUAUCACAUUUCAACCCCCUUGGGUGCAAUUAUAGCUGCAUGGCGUUUGGGCUCAUGCACAUCCCAGCUUUCCACAUUCAAAGACUCAAAUUUUUGCCAUCUAUAGUUUAUUUAUUUAUUUAUUUUUUGUUAUACCUUUUACCAUAUAUCUUUCUAAAACUGCCUUCAUUUAGCCCCAUCCAUCUUCCCAUCCCCUGCUGUAGAAAAGCCUUCCCACAGCCGGAUCCUGCCAGAAUGGGGACGCUGUGCUCAAAUAAUUUGAAGUUUUACCUCACAGAUGACAUUUUGCAGAUGAGCCAAAAGAAAAUUAAUUCCUCCUCUCAGCAGAGAAUCUUCGUCCAAAUAUUUGCUUUUCUUUUUCUCUUUGGUAGCAAUUCAUGUCUUGUUAAAUUUCCAAUUGUGUCUUAUUCUCUGAUCUGUUUUGGAUGAUGGAUUAAACUAAGCUCUGUUCGGGGCUUAGGUAUUGCGGGGUUUUUUUGUUGUUUUUUUUUGCACGUAAGUGAUCACUAGUUAUAAAAUAUGUAACUUCUAAAGACACCUUGUUGUACUGUUUUUGAUUUAGGUUCUUCGGAGUAAAGGAGGUGACAUGAAAAUGUACCACACAUUUUUAAGUCUGUGACUCUCUCAAUACUAUUCCUACAAUCUCUGGUUAGCAAUAGAAGCAGGACAAGGCAACACUGAAGAGUUGAUUCAUUUAGAUUAAAAAAAAGUAAAAAAAUCACUUUGCUCUUUUACACCAAACUCGGAAAAGAAAAAUAGUUUGCCGGAGAUUUUGUCCCUGACAACCUCAGACAGGUUGGAGCACACUCACACACGCACUCUAAUUUAACACAAUAGAAUACACACACACAUCGCCCAGGUCAAACAGCAAGCAUUUAUAACCAACCUCACCCAUGACCGCACAGCCUCGGCCCGAUUAAUUCAGCCUCCAGAGACAUGGAUCCUCAGGUUAAACAGCAGCCUCGUAGCAGUGAGCCAAGUGAGCGGUCUUGAUGGAUGACUGCGGCUCAGAGUCCUGACGUGUCUGAUAAACGUGGAGCGGCUGAUAUGUUUUUAAACAAUGUAGUCCUACCCACACAUU